rnacentral:rRNA from 1 species
UACAGAGGUCCCGAGCGUUGUUCGGAUUCAUUGGGCGUAAAGGGUGCGUAGGCGGCGGGGCAAGUCUGAUGUGAAAUCCCGGGGCUCAACCCCGGAACUGCAUUGGAUACUGCCUUGCUCGAGUACUGGAGAGGGAACUGGAAUUUACGGUGUAGCAGUGAAAUGCGUAGAGAUCGUAAGGAAGGCCAGUGGCGAAGGCGAGUUCCUGGACAGUUACUGACAGCUGAGGCACGAAGGCCAGGGGAGCAAACGGG